rnacentral:rRNA from 1 species
GUUGAACGCUGGCGGUAUGCCUUACACAUGCAAGUCGAACGGUAGAGGAGCAAUCCUCGAGAGUGGCGAACGGGUGAGUAAUACAUCGGAACGUGCCCAGUCGUGGGGGAUAACGUAGCGAAAGCUACGCUAAUACCGCAUACGACCCGAGGGUGAAAGCGGGGGACUCGCAAGAGCCUCGCGCGAUUGGAGCGGCCGAUGGCAGAUUAGGUAGUUGGUGGGGUAAAGGCCCACCAAGCCUGCGAUCUGUAGCUGGUCUGAGAGGACGACCAGCCACACUGGGACUGAGACACGGCCCAGACUCCUACGGGAGGCAGCAGUGGGGAAUUUUGGACAAUGGGCGAAAGCCUGAUCCAGCCAUACCGCGUGCGGGAAGAAGGCCUCGGUUGUAA